rnacentral:rRNA from 1 species
UACGGAGGGUGCAAGCGUUAUCCGGAUUCACUGGGUUUAAAGGGUGCGUAGGUGGGUCUGUAAGUCCGUGGUGAAAUCUCCAAGCUUAACUUGGAAACUGCCAUGGAUACUAUAGGUCUUGAAUACCGUGGAGGUGAGCGGAAUAUGUCAUGUAGCGGUGAAAUGCUUAGAUAUGACAUAGAACACCAAUUGCGAAGGCAGCUCACUACACGAAUAUUGACACUGAGGCACGAAAGCGUGGGGAGCAAACAGGAUUAGA